UUCCUGCCUGCAACCUUGGAGAAGCCGCUGCCAGUCUGUGUAGAGACAAUACUGUGUAGAGACAAUACUGAGCGAGAUGGACCAAUGGUCUGACUCAGUAUAUGGCAGCUUCCUAUGUUCCUAAGCCAGUGUGUGAUUUCCAUCCUGUGAAGGCUCAGAAGCCAGAGAAGCAGGUUCCUGGCCUCUCUUCCCUUGCACAGCUUUCCUAUUGCUACUGGAGCCCAGCCCAGGGGCAUAAUGAGGGGAUGGCCCAUGGGGCAGGCUCCUGAUGAAUGGCUGAGAGCCCUGAAUCUCAUUCGUGAGCUCCCUGGUCUAGGACCUCUUCUUCCUGCAAGGAAGGGCAACCACGGAGGCGCCUGCACAGGACAUGAUGAGAGAAAGCUCCCGUCCUCUCCUGGCUCUGCUGAUUCCACCUUCAGAGAUUGCGGAGCUGGAUGUGGAGGGAAGAAGGCUUCAAGCAGGAUUUGUCAGGCCAAAAAUCCAAGCUCUCUGGUAAGGCACCUUGAUCUGGUGAGUCUGACAAGAUGUGGCAGAAGAGGCCCUUUCCUACGCAUGCAGGUUCCCUGAAUUGAAGGGAAGCAUCAAGAUGGAAUUGCUUACCUGUGGUCCAGAUGAUUUGGCAUUGUGGUCAGGAACAGUGAAGGCUGAGUGGAGAAUCUUGCUCUCUGUUCUGUUUAGUUAACUGCUUCAUGUAACACAGAAGUUUGCACCUACCUUUGCUUGAAAAAAGAGCUCUCACUCUGUAAUUCAUAAGGCUGAAGAUUAAAGCCGCCCCC